UCAAACCGGCGUAUUCAGCUAUGGAGCAUGCGCACAGCUCAUUGUGAUUGUGAGCAUGCGUACUGGGAGGGAUAUCCGGAAUGAAAUGGUUCUCCAUGAGAGCCACAAGCGAACAUUCAACAACUUGAAAACUGGAUUGAAAAUGAGAGACAGAGCAGCCACUGCAGAAGCUUCCAAAAUCACUCUGCACUUUCUUGAACUGCUGCAAUCCACGUGGUGAUGUAGCUCCCAUGUUGCAAAUUGGUUGAUGAUAUCCUUCGAAGAACAGGAGAUCUGAAGUGGACACAUUACUCCAGAAGAGGCCUCACUGAUGUUCUGCACAAUUUCAACAUAACGUCCCACCUCCUAUACUCUAAAGGCCUGAGCAGUGAAGGCAAGUAGGCUAAACUCCGACCUAACCACCCUUUCUACAUGUGACGCCAACCUCACAGAAUUCAGGGCCUGAACCUUGAGGUCUCUCUUUUCGACAACACUAACCCCAAGGCCCUACAUUUAAUUGUACAAAUACUGAUCUUGUUUGUUUUACCAAAAUGAAAUACCUCGCCUUUAUCCAAAUUAAACACCACCUGCCAUUCCUCAGCCUCUUAACCCUAUAAAUCAAGAUCUCUUUGUAAUCUUGGACAUCCUCACAUCCUUCUUAAAUCUGCCCCCUCUCACUUUAAAUCUGUACACUCUUUUCCAUUCCCCAUCCCUGGGAAAAAGACGCCGUGCAUUCUUCCUGUCUAAGCCCCUCAUGAUUUUAUCCACCUCAGUAAGGUCACCGCUCGUUCUCUUACAUUCCAAGGAAUAAAGCCCAAUUCUGGACAACCUCUCCUCAGAACUCAGGCCUACUAUUCCUAGCAACAUCCUUGUAACUCUUCUUUGCACGUUUUCCAGUUUAACUGUGCCUUUCCUGUAACAGGGUGACCAAAACUGUA